CUAUAACAAACUAGCAGAAAUGGAUUCUCUUGAAGUUGACCUGGGGAGAAGAGAGCAAGCCAGAUGACUCAUGAGUCCUCCUCCAAACCAGAAUGAUUCCUUAUUGAUUUUUAGGUAUUUCUGCCUGAAACCUUCCUUUGUUCUUAUAUUUUGUUCAAUCAGCAUAGCAUAGCAAUAUGCUUUUGAGCUAGAAUGUAUCAAGUGUGUGAAUGGAUUCAGGGCCCCUCCCAACAUCAUUUCUAUUGUUUCUUCCUGAUUGUUUGGGCUCAUGGUGGCAUUGUGGGGUUAUACAGUGGUACCUCGGGUUAAGUACUUAAUUCGUUCCAGAGGUCCGUUCUUAACCUGAAACUGUUAUUAACCUGAAGCACCAUUUUAGCUAAUGGGGCCUCCCACUGCCGCCGCGCCGCCGGAGCAUGAUUUCUGUUCUUAUCCUGAAGCAAAGUUCUUAACCUGAAGCACUAUUUCUGGGUUAGCAGAGUCUGUAACCUGAAGUGUAUGUAACCCGAGGUACCACUGUACAUGAGUCUCUUUGUGCCUGUAAAAAAUUUGGGGUUGACAUACUACUUUGUUUCCAAUCAGCACAUGGCUGGUAGCUUCCAGCUGAAAUCCAACAACGUUUUAUACCACAAAAGCUCCAUUUUAUCCCUCUGCCCACACUUUUAUUUUCACAUACGCACAGUGGCAGAUGUGGAACAAGUCCUGACCCCACUCUGCCCAUUCCUUUCCCCCAGAUUGGUUCAAAAGGAUUUUUGAUCAUUCCCAAAGGAAAUGUGUUAUGUCAGCCUGGUAUUUUAACCCCUGUCUGAAGUCAAACUGUCUUCCACAAAGUUCCGUUCCUUUUUAUAUUCCUGUCUUCUUGUGAUGCAGCUCUAGGUCAAUACAAGUGCUUGCCAUAAACACAUGCUGAUAAUAGACUGAGAAAUAAGAACUCACAUUUUCAGCCAGCGUUUGGUUGAUGGAAAAAUGACACACUUCCUAUUGGCUUCUUGACAGGUGUAAUUCAUCUUGGCACUGCUGGCUUAAUCUGGACCACUUCAGCAAUCGUUACAGCUCAUUUAUCCCCUUUCUAUUCAUUCCUUAUGUGUGUUUAAGAAAAGAAAAAAGAAUUUCUAGCCUAUCCCUUUUGGGUGCAAAAAAUAUGAGGCUCUAAUAAUGAGUAUGUAGCUAGAUGGGUAAAAUGCUUCAGGAUUCAAUGAUACAUAUUGAAAUCCUUAUUGCUAGUCUUUUCCAGACUUGUUUCGUGCAAACUGCUUUGCAGUUACUAAUGAAGCAGUGCCAAGAAAAACUGGAGGAGCUGCCUCUUCCCUAAUACAGAGACAUCACUCAAUCAAACAUGCAUUAGAGAGUUGAUUGGCAUUAGAGAAAGAUUCUUCUUCAGUAUCCUGUGAGCAACAUCAACACCUAAGGCCCGGAGAGUGUAUUUGCACUAACAUGAUGUCAUUCAAAAUCCCAUGGCAUGUAGGCACUAUUUAAGUUGUUUAAUAUAGCAAACAAUGAACCUAGCUCUUUGAAACAUGGGAUUGUAUUGAGGAUUAGUCAUUCUCAGAGAAGACCCUCUGAAAUUCAUGGACAUGACUAAAUCACUCUGGGCAAAACUUAGUUGGAUGCAACCCAUAGGAAACUGCUGUACACCAGGCCAGAUGAUUUGUCAAUCAAUAUUAUCUAGUCUCUGACUUGUAGCAGGUUUGCGGCAGAGAGAGACUUUCACAUAACCUGCUACCUGAUGCUUUUGAACCUUCUACCACUGAGCUACAAUCCCUUCCCAGUUCCAGUUCUAGAAUUCAAAUUCAAAAGUCUCUCAGGUUCUUCUUAACAAUGAGCUGCCAAGCGCAUGGUUGCUCUAGACAAUGGAACAACUAAGCUAAUGUGGUGUAGUGGUUAAGAGCGGUAGUCUCGUAAUCUGGGGAACCGGGUUCGCGUCUCCGCUCCUCCACAUGCAGCUGCUGGGUGACCUUGGGCCAGUCACACUUCUCUGAAGUCUCUCAGCCCCACUCACCUCACAGAGUGUUUGUUGUGGGGGAGGAAGGGAAAGGAGAAUGUUAGCCGCUUUGAGACUCCUGAAGGGGAGUGAAAGGCGGGAUAUCAAAUCCAAACUCUUCUUCUUCUUCUUCUAAUGGCAGUCAGAGAAUUCUAGGCCCACGGAGACAUCAAAGCAGCAGUCCCUCCUUGGAGAAGACAAGCAAAGCACAUGAGCUAUGCAUCAGUUAACUUCAUAGAUACAUGGACAAACAAUGAUGUGCACCAGACAUUUUUAAAAGGCUCUUACUUGCUGCUGUAUGGAGAAUGCAAGGGUUGCAUAGGUUGUGUGCAUGCCACAUGCCAGAGAGUAGGACUUCCAUUGGAGUAAUGUGGAAAGUGGGAUCCCCUCAAAAAUUGGUUGCAACCUGUGCUUUUUAAUGAGCAGUGAAGUGGCCAAGGUUAAUGGUGAUACUAAGUUGCCCAGGGUCUUUAAAACAAACAAACAAACAAACAAACAUUGCAAAGAGCUCCAAAAGGGCCUCUCCAAACCACGUGAAUGGGCAGUAAAAUGGCAGAUGCAAUUCAAUGUAAACAAGUGUAAAGUGAUGUGUGUCAAGGAAAAACAGUUGGGAAAAGUUCAGAAAAGGGCAACUAGGGGAUGGAGGAACUCCCUGAUGAGGAAAGUCUGCAGCGUUUGGGGCUUUUCAGUUUUGAGAAAAGGUGAUUAAGGGGUGACAUGCUGAAAGGGUAUGAAAUUAUGCAUGGCAUGCAUGAAGAAGGUGGAUAGAGAAAAGCUUUUCUCUCUCUCUCAUAACACUAGAACACUAGAACAUGAAGUGGAGCUGAACGUAGGAGGACUGAGGACAGAUAAAUGGAAGUACUCAUUCACAGAGCAUGUAGCUGAACUGUGGAACUUGCUCCAACAAGAGGCAGUGAUGGCCACCAACUGGAUGGCUUUGAAAGAGAAUUAGAUAAAUUCAUGUAGGUAAAUGCUAUCAGUGGCUACUAGUCCUGAUGGCUGUGUGUUGCCUCCACUAUCAGAGACAGUAUGCUUCUGAAUAUCAUUACAGUGGUACCUCGGGUUACAAACACCUCAGGUUACAAACACUUUGGGUUACAGAAUCCACUAACCCGGAAGUAGUACCUUGGGUUAAGAACUUUACUUCAGGAUGAGAACAGAAAUAGCAUGGUGGUGGCAUGGCAACAGUGGGAGGCCCCAUUAGCUAAAGUGGUACCUCAGGUCAAGAACAGUUUCAGGUUAAGAACGGACCUCCAGAACGAAUCAAGUUCGUAACCAGAGGUACCACUGUAUUUGGAAACUAGAGGAGAGGAGAAUGCUCUUCCCCUUGCCCCUGGCCUGAUACAGCAGGUUCUCCCUGUGUUCUUGUGAACAGUUGAGUUCCUGGGCCUCCAUGGCAAUGUGUCGUGGAAUUCAUUGUAAAAGAAAAAGAAGUGCUUUGCAAAGAAGUGUUUUCUUGUGGUAAAAUACAAAUACAUCGUUACAGGCUGACUUCAAGGAUUAGAUGUGUGAUUUCUGAUUUGGACCAUUUAGAGAGUGAAGGAAAACCAGCUUAUUGACUUUGACUAUAAGACCAAAAAUGGUUUGCUCUGUAAAAACUUAAUUAUUUAUUUUCAAGGGGCCCAAAAUGGAUAUUUUUUGUGAAAUAUCUCCCAUGAAAUAGACUUUCAGUUUGCAAGCUUUACUGCCACCUGUUAGCCUGGAAAAAUUACUUUAUGCUCCUCUUAAUUCUCCAUAAUGAUACUCUUAUGCUUGAGCAACGUGCCCUGACGAACUUGAUAAUCUGUGUCUUUAAAAAGUGGAAAAUUAGUUCAGACAGCUGUGGCUUUGGAGGAAAAAACGAGCUUAAGUUCUCAGAAAUUGUAGAUGGUGUCUGAGCUGCACACAUAGUGGUGAUGACUGUAUCCCACUGGCCAUUUGACCUUUGCUCUUUUCCAGCCUAAAAAUUAAGAAUAACAGCAUCCACGCACCAUUUAUAGCCUGAAUAAUAGAGAUGCUUUGCUACUAUUUAAAAUAGCCAAGAUAAUAUAAGGAGAACAUUAGCGCAAUAGUCUCACUUUUGCAAUGUAGUACAGGAAGGUCGGCUGUUGGCUGAGAGAGAGAAAGAGAAGAAGAAGAAGAAGAGUUUGGAUUUGAUAUCCCGCCUUUCACUCCCUUUAAGGAGUCUCAAAGCGGCUAGAAAGAGGUAAGCAUAUGUAGAAAACUUCCUUCUGAAUGUUUUU
rnacentral:lncRNA from 1 species